rnacentral:tRNA from 1 species
GGAGACGGAGGCCUACGGGCCGGACGAUUCGGCGAGCUACGCAUACUUGAGAAGGACGCCGAGCCGUGAGCCUAAGUGGAUGCCGCCGAGGACGAUGCGGGGGGUGGGGGUUCGAGUCCCCCCGUCUCCA